UACGGAGGGUGCAAGCGUUAUCCGGAUUCACUGGGCUUAAAGGGUGCGUAGGUGGGUUGGUAAGUCAGUGGUGAAAUCUCCGAGCUUAACUUGGAAACUGCCAUUGAUACUAUCAGUCUUGAAUAUUGUGGAGGUCAGCGGAAUAUGUCAUGUAGCGGUGAAAUGCUUAGAUAUGACAUAGAACACCAAUUGCGAAGGCAGCUGGCUACACAUAUAUUGACACUGAGGCACGAAAGCGUGGGGAUCAAACAGG
rnacentral:rRNA from 1 species